rnacentral:lncRNA from 1 species
AAUCCGCGAGACUCCGUGGGGUAGGACCCUCCGAGCCAGGUGCGGCAUAUAAUCUCGUGGUGCGCCGUUUUUUAAGCCCGUGGGGAAAGCGCAGUGUUCUGGUGGGAGUGACCCGAUUUUCCAGGUGCCGUCCGUCACCCCUUUCUUUGACUAGGAAAGGGAACUCCCUGACCCUUGCUCUUCCCGAGUGAGGCAAUGCCUCGCCCUGCUUCGGCUCGCGCAGGGUGCGCGCACCCACUGACCUGCGCCCACUGUCUGGCACUCCCUAGUGAGAUGAACCCGGUACCUCAGAUGGAAAUGCAGAAAUCAACCAUCUUCUGUGUCGCUCACGCUGGGAGCUGUAGACCGGAGCUGUUCCUAUUUGGCCAUCUUGGCUCCUUCCUCAUCCUUAUUCAAUUCUUGAACGGUUCCACACAAAAAUAACUGAAGAUGGGCCUCCAGUCUUACGACGCCACAAAGUGCCCUGACACCACUGAACACGAAAACUCAUUGCAGAGUUUUAUUGCAUGAAAGAUGUUUGUGAUGUUUGCAAUUGGAUGACUCAAGUCUUUGUCAUGGAGACCUCCCUUACUCUCAAGGGGCCUCCCAGCGCAAGAGGCAGUGAGUCCAUCACCAUAGGAAGUGUGCACAUGUACAGACUGUUCAAACAUACAGUACAGACUGCUAUGAUGUCAGCAAACACCCAUGUGGGAAAAGCAAUGAGAAUUCAUCCAGCCAAAUAUGCAUUUUGAAUUAGUUUCUUAAAAACAUGUUACAUGAAUUUAACUAGGGAAUAGAGGAUAAUUACUACCAAUACCAGAUGUGGAAGAACAAACAAAAAACUCUUAGGACGUUAACAAAAAA